CCCUGGUUAGCUCAGUUGGUAGAGCGCUCCACUUGUAAUGGAGAGGUCCCGGGUUCGAUACCUGGACCAGGCG
rfam:Ixodes scapularis strain Wikel colony gcontig_1107729092482, whole genome shotgun sequence.